UCUCUUCGGAGUGAUCGAGCCCGAGUUAGUGGCGGAUGGGUGAGUAACGCGUGGGGAACCUACCUUUUAGUGGGGAAUAAUCGUUGGAAACGACGACUAAUACCGCAUACAGUGUCCGGAUCGCAUGAUCUGGAUAAAAAAGACGGCCUUCGUGCUGUCGCUAAGAGAUGGACCCGCGUCUGAUUAGCUAGUUGGUAAGGUAACGGCUUACCAAGGCGGCGAUCAGUAGCCGGCCUGAGAGGGUGAACGGCCACAUUGGGACUGAGACACGGCCCAAACUCC
rnacentral:rRNA from 1 species